AGUAGCACACACCGCGGCAAUGCCAGCUGAUGGCUGGGAGGUGCGGAGACGCCUGUGCGGACGGGGACCUUACCCACCGACCCGGAACCGGUGGGCGAAAGACGCAGGAGUUUCUCGACCAAGGAAUGAUGAAGAUUGUUGACGGGAUCCCUGGCCUGGGAUGCAAAGAAAAAGCCGCCUGUUCUGCCUCAUAAUAUUGCCGGCCAGUUUCAGUCUUCAUUAGUGCAAGACAGCUAGUAGAGGAUGAUAACCUCUAGUGGAGGAUUGCCUGGACCUUGCCUGGUGUUACUACGUACGUCACUUGACUGUGUGUGACCAUUAACAGUUCGUACACAGGUUGAAGCGCAUUGUAAGCACAUCCAUUUCCGUCAGCGUACACACAGCACACUGGACAGCGGCAAGUAGAUGAUGAGAGCGGAUAACUGAAGAUAUCACUGCGAUCAGUUCAAACCCCUGUCACUCUGAGCUCUCCUGAUGAGACCUAACAAGGUGGAAACGCCUAGCUGUCUGGAGACUGAGUUCGACACACCUGUAGUGAUAGCACAUGCCAGCUGCUAUUCGGCCUUAUCUGGAGGU